rnacentral:rRNA from 1 species
GAUGAACGCUGGCGGCGUGCUUAACACAUGCAAGUCGAACGGAAAGGCCCAAGCUUGCUUGGGUACUCGAGUGGCGAACGGGUGAGUAACACGUGGGUGAUCUGCCCUGCACUUCGGGAUAAGCCUGGGAAACUGGGUCUAAUACCGGAUAGGACCACUUCUUGGAUGUUGUGGUGGAAAGUUUUUUCGGUGUGGGAUGAGCUCGCGGCCUAUCAGCUUGUUGGUGGGGUAAUGGCCUACCAAGGCGUCGACGGGUAGCCGGCCUGAGAGGGUGUACGGCCACAUUGGGACUGAGAUACGGCCCAGACUCCUACGGGAGGCAGCAGUGGGGAAUAUUGCACAAUGGGCGCAGGCCUGAUGCAGCGACGCCGCGUGGGGGAUGACGGCCUUCGGGUUGUAAACUCCUUUCGCUAGGGACGAAGCGUUUUGUGACGGUACCUGGAGAAGAAGCACCGGCUAACUACGUG